UUGCCUUUUAAGAAAGUAUACUUAUUUUUCAGUUACAAGCCAAUCCUCAACACUCUGAUUCAGGAUUCAGAUCAACCCAAACGAGUUUUGAAAUCUCAUAAAACUCAAACACCCAAAAAUUAUUUGAGAAAAAUAGAGUAUACAAAUUUCAGCACACAAACUCCUUAAAUAUACACAAUAAAAGUAAUAAAAAUAUAAUACUUAAGGGGUGGAAACCUUUGCUGUAUACUCUCAAUGAAUUCUACAUUUGAUUGCUGCUGGAGAGUGAUUGGUGAUGUGCUUAAAUGCUUUAAUCUCUUUCUUAGGGCUGAAAAUAGCUUUUCUCUGAUUUAAUCUUUGAGCUUGCAAAAACCUUUUAAUUUUCCACUUGAAUAGAGCAUUUAUAGUUGCCAUUUACUCUUGAGAAUAUCUUAGAGUUGGUUUAGAGCCAUUGGAGUGUAUUUAAUAUGCAUUAAAUGCAUCAAAAAUGGGCUGAAAACUAGCCAUUAUGCAUGCUCACAGAAAUGAAAUGUCCCACUGGCAUUGGGGCAACCCAUAGGACGUCCCAAUUUGCCAGACAGAAAGUCCUACUUUCUGUUUUGGUCUCACGUCUCAGGAGGACGUCCCAUGGGACAUCCCAAUUACAUGGGGCAUCCUAGGUGGGUCAUCCCACAGCAUACCAUGACCCAAAACACUGCAUGUCGGCUGCCUAACAGAAGGGGAUGACCCAGGUGGGUCGUUCCAUCAUAUUCUAAUCCAGUUUUUCAUGUAUUUAAGGUUCAAAACUUAUCAAAACUCAUCCAAACUCUCUCAAAUGAAUUCAAAUUAGUUUGGACACUUUCAAAAGCCUUCAAAACUUCACCAACUUGAUGAAACUUCAACUCUUGAUAUAUUUGAUGAAGCUUUUCAAACCCAAUCUCUUUGACUAUCUGAAACAUCAUAAAAAUAAUCUUCAAACAUACAAAACUCAUUAGUAGUCUCCUCAAAUGAUUUGUGAUCAUCAAAAUCAAUUCUUGGAACAACAAUCUUUUCCUUUUUGAUGAUGACAAAAUAUUUGAGUGUUCAUAAAAAAAUAUCUUUAAAGCUCAAGUAAUUUAGGUUUGUGAAACACUAGAAGAACUAUGUCAAGAGUUCAAUUAUAGAGGGUCAUGAUAUAUAAACUUUAAUGAAUUAACUCAUUUAGCUCAAACAAUUUAUGAAUAAAUUAGAGAGUUUCUAAAGAUUAUCCUUAUUCAAUCAAAAUCUUCUUCUUUCUUGUAUGGAUUAGAUUAUUUUGAUUAGUUGAAAACAAAUCUCUUCCUUUCUUAUAUAAAGAGUGUAUAUAAAAAAAAAUUUGAUUCUAAUAUCAGAGCAAUAGAUAUAAGAAGAUAUAUCUCUUUUCUUUUUCUUGUCUUGAUGUUAAAGUAAGAGUGAGACAAUUAGAGCAAGAAUCAAAAAUGAAUGUAUUGAGUCAAUUUGAUAUCAGUAUAAAAGUAAGAUUAGUAGAGCAUUUAAGAUAAAUAGAUUGAUCAGAGUAGUUUUUCAAAUAGUAUUAAAAUGAAUGUAAAAAUAGAUGUAUCAGAGUUUUUUUAAAAAAAUUAUGAAUCAGUAUCAAAGUUAUUUUUUAAAAAAUGGGUGAAACAAUAUCAGUGCUUUUACCAUUUAGUAUAGAAUACUGUAUCAGAGUAAAAAUUGCUAAAAAGCUUAAAAAGAGCAAAAGAUUUUCAAAAGAUUUUAAGAACUAUACCAUUUUCACACUUUAUCAUUAUUUCUCUCUCAAAUGCAUUAUUUUCUCCAUUUACCUUUAUUUCUCCCUCUUUAUUAUUAUUAUAUAUAUAUUUUUUUAUGUUUCAUUAUUUUUUCUCCUUUUUGACAUCAUCAAAAAGAAUAAGAAUAAACUAGAAGAGUAGGAUGUUCAUGGUGUUAAGUCAAGUAUCAAGAAAAUAGAGCGUGAUACCACAUUCAUCCAUUCAACAAAAAAUGAUACUAAGCAUUC
rnacentral:lncRNA from 1 species